ensembl:snoRNA
CGAUGACACUCUCCAGAAUCACUGUACUGCUUUGAUGAAAGUACACUUGAACCCUUUUAAUAUAGUCAAUAAUUUUC